AUGUUAAGCUUGCAUCGCAUUAUCUGUGACAUUGUUGUCAGGUACAAUGCCAUCCUGCACUUGCAGGCCCUGAGUCACAAGCCAAGCUUGAAAGUUCAUGAGAAAAGGCGGCAGUUGAGGCAAUGGUGGUGCUGGAGGCGCUGGCCAUUCUCCCCAUCCUCCAUUAUCUUGAUUGUUCUGAGCUACAGGUCCAUUCGGUGCGCCAUUGGGAGGGGCUGCGUUCUGCAUGAACCAGGUAUGCACCUAUUGCUGAUACAGUUGCCCCGCUGUCAGAUGGGGACCAAAGUGAGGAUGUGGGUUUCCGUCAGGUGGCGGCGGUUCCUCGCCGGCCGACAGCACCUCAGGAAGGAGCCCAUUCCAGUCGUUGCUCCUGAGGAUCAUAAUCCAGACGGUCUAGCAAUCUCUCACACCGCCAAGCUGCCAAACAACAAAAAUUUUGGGCACAAGACGCAGAUUCAGAACUCUGGCCUUAAUCAGCAUGAAACGACAAUCUUGACGGGGAUUGUACCAGGAGACCAGAGCACCAAAACUGCCAAGAGACUUUUUGAUGUAAUAAUCAGUUUGGUAAUCAUAAGGAAAUCCAAAAUACAUCAACCAAAUCUCCGGUCCUAUAGUGGUAGUAUGGCGAUUGAGUGCUUCAUGGUGAGGUAUGAAAGCGAUAAGCAGAUCAUCACCCUCAAGUUCUAA
rnacentral:rRNA from 1 species